rnacentral:rRNA from 1 species
CACUAUCGUUAACUGAAUACAUAGGUUAACGAGGCGAACCGGGGGAACUGAAACAUCUAAGUACCCCGAGGAAAAGAAAUCAACCGAGAUUCCCCCAGUAGCGGCGAGCGAACGGGGAGCAGCCCAGAGUCUGAAUCAGCUUGUGUGUUAGUGGAACGGUCUGGAAAGUCCGACGGUACAGGGUGAUAGUCCCGUACACCAAAAUGCACAGGCUGUGAACUCGAAGAGUAGGGCGGGACACGUGGUAUCCUGUCUGAAUAUGGGGGGACCAUCCUCCAAGGCUAAAUACUCCUGACUGACCGAUAGUGAACCAGUACCGUGAGGGAAAGGCGAAAAGAACCCCGGCGAGGGGAGUGAAAAAGAACCUGAAACCGUGUACGUACAAGCAGUGGGAGCACCUUCGGGUGUGACUGCGUACCUUUUGUAUAAUGGGUCAGCGACUUAUAUUCUGUAGCAAGGUUAACCGUAUAGGGGAGCCGCAGGGAAACCGAGUCUUAACUGGGCGUUAAGUUGCAGGGUAUAGACCCGAAACCCGGUGAUCUAGCCAUGGGCAGGUUGAAGGUUGGGUAACACUAACUGGAGGACCGAACCGACUAAUGUUGAAAAAUUAGCGGAUGACUUGUGGCUGGGGGUGAAAGGCCAAUCAAACCGGGAGAUAGCUGGUUCUCCCCGAAAGCUAUUUAGGUAGCGCCUCGUGAACUCAUCUUCGGGGGUAGAGCACUGUUUCGGCUAGGGGGUCAUCCCGACUUACCAACCCGAUGCAAACUACGAAUACCGAAGAAUGUUAUCACGGGAGACACACGGCGGGUGCUAACGUCCGUCGUGAAGAGGGAAACAACCCAGACCGCCAGCUAAGGUCCCAAAGUCAUGGUUAAGUGGGAAACGAUGUGGGAAGGCACAGACAGCCAGGAUGUUGGCUUAGAAGCAGCCAUCAUUUAAAGAAAGCGUAAUAGCUCACUGGUCGAGUCGGCCUGCGCGGAAGAUGUAACGGGGCUAAACCAUGCACCGAAGCUGCGGCAGCGACACUAUGUGUUGUUGGGUAGGGGAGCGUUCUGUAAGCCUGCGAAGGUGNUGCUGGAGGUAUCAGAAGUGCGAAUGCUGACAUAAGUAACGAUAAAGCGGGUGAAAAGCCCGCUCGCCGGAAGACCAAGGGUUCCUGUCCAACGUUAAUCGGGGCAGGGUGAGUCGACCCCUAAGGCGAGGCCGAAAGGCGUAGUCGAUGGGAAACAGGUUAAUAUUCCUGUACUUGGUGUUACUGCGAAGGGGGGACGGAGAAGGCUAUGUUAGCCGGGCGACGGUUGUCCCGGUUUAAGCAUGUAGGCUGGUUGUCCAGGCAAAUCCGGAUAAUCAAGGCUGAGGUGUGAUGACGAGGCACUACGGUGCUGAAGUAACAAAUGCCCUGCUUCCAGGAAAAGCCUCUAAGCAUCAGGUAACAUCAAAUCGUACCCCAAACCGACACAGGUGGUCAGGUAGAGAAUACCAAGGCGCUUGAGAGAACUCGGGUGAAGGAACUAGGCAAAAUGGUGCCGUAACUUCGGGAGAAGGCACGCUGGUGUGUAGGUGAAGUCCCUGCGGAUGGAGCUGAGACCAGUCGAAGAUACCAGCUGGCUGCAACUGUUUAUUAAAAACACAGCACUGUGCAAACACGAAAGUGGACGUAUACGGUGUGACGCCUGCCCGGUGCCGGAAGGUUAAUUGAUGGGGUUAUCCGUAAGGAGAAGCUCUUGAUCGAAGCCCCGGUAAACGGCGGCCGUAACUAUAACGGUCCUAAGGUAGCGAAAUUCCUUGUCGGGUAAGUUCCGACCUGCACGAAUGGCGUAAUGAUGGCCAGGCUGUCUCCACCCGAGACUCAGUGAAAUUGAACUCGCUGUGAAGAUGCAGUGUACCCGCGGCAAGACGGAAAGACCCCGUGAACCUUUACUAUAGCUUGACACUGAACAUUGAGCCUUGAUGUGUAGGAUAGGUGGGAGGCUUUGAAGCGUGGACGCCAGUCUGCGUGGAGCCAACCUUGAAAUACCACCCUUUAAUGUUUGAUGUUCUAACGUUGGCCCCUUACCGGGGUUGCGGACAGUGUCUGGUGGGUAGUUUGACUGGGGCGGUCUCCUCCCAAAGCGUAACGGAGGAGCACGAAGGUUAGCUAAUCCUGGUCGGACAUCAGGAGGUUAGUGCAAUGGCAUAAGCUAGCUUGACUGCGAGCGUGACGGCGCGAGCAGGUGCGAAAGCAGGUCAUAGUGAUCCGGUGGUUCUGAAUGGAAGGGCCAUCGCUCAACGGAUAAAAGGUACUCCGGGGAUAACAGGCUGAUACCGCCCAAGAGUUCAUAUCGACGGCGGUGUUUGGCACCUCGAUGUCGGCUCAUCACAUCCUGGGGCUGAAGUAGGUCCCAAGGGUAUGGCUGUUCGCCAUUUAAAGUGGUACGCGAGCUGGGUUUAGAACGUCGUGAGACAGUUCGGUCCCUAUCUGCCGUGGGCGCUGGAGAAUUGAGGGGGGCUGCUCCUAGUACGAGAGGACCGGAGUGGACGCAUCACUGGUGUUCGGGUUGUCAUGCCAAUGGCACUGCCCGGUAGCUAAAUGCGGAAGAGAUAAGUGCUGAAAGCAUCUAAGCACGAAACUUGCCCCGAGAUGAGUUCUCCCUGAGACUAUAAGUCUCCUGAAGGAACGUUGAAGACGACGACGUUGAUAGGCCGGGUGUGUAAGCGCAGCGAUGCGUUGAGCUAACCGGUACUAAUGAACCGUGAGGCUUAACCUU